rnacentral:rRNA from 1 species
CCUACGGGGGGCUGCAGUGGGGAACAUUGGACAAUGGGGGCAACCCUGAUCCAGCCAUGCCGCGUGUGUGAAGAAGGCCCUCGGGUUGUAAAGCACUUUCAGUGAGGAAGAACGCCUGGUGGUUAAUACCCAUCAGGAAAGACAUCACUCACAGAAGAAGCACCGGCUAACUCCGUGCCAGCAGCCGCGGUAAUACGGAGGGUGCGAGCGUUAAUCGGAAUUACUGGGCGUAAAGCGCGCGUAGGUGGCUUGAUAAGCCGGUUGUGAAAGCCCCGGGCUCAACCUGGGAACGGCAUCCGGAACUGUCAAGCUAGAGUGCAGGAGAGGAAGGUAGAAUUCCCGGUGUAGCGGUGAAAUGCGUAGAGAUCGGGAGGAAUACCAGUGGCGAAGGCGGCCUUCUGGACUGACACUGACACUGAGGUGCGAAAGCGUGGGUAGCAAACAGGAUUAGAUACCCUGGUAGUC